GCUUAGAGUUUGAUCCUGGCUCAGGAUGAACGCUGGCGGUAUGCUUAACACAUGCAAGUCGAACGGAGUACUUCGGUACUUAGUGGCGGACGGGUGAGUAACGCGUGAGAAUCUGCCUUCAGGAUGGGGAUAACAGUGGGAAACCAUUGCUAAUACCCAAUGAGCCGAGAGGUAAAAAAUUUAUUGCCUGAAGAGGAGCUCGCGUCCGAUUAGUUAGUUGGUGGGGUAAAGGCUUACCAAGACGGCGAUCGGUAGCUGGUCUGAGAGGAUGAGCAGCCACACUGGGACUGAGACACGGCCCAGACUCCUACGGGAGGCAGCAGUGGGGAAUUUUCCGCAAUGGGCGAAAGCCUGACGGAGCAAUACCGCGUGAGGGAGGAAGGCCUUUGGGUUGUAAACCUCUUUUCUUAAGGAAGAAGAUCUGACGGUACUUAAGGAAUCAGCAUCGGCUAACUCCGUGCCAGCAGCCGCGGUAAUACGGAGGAUGCAAGCGUUAUCCGGAAUUAUUGGGCGUAAAGCGUCCGCAGGCGGCACUAUAAGUCUGCUGUCAAAGACCGCAGCUCAACUGCGGAAAGGCAGUGGAAACUGUAGAGCUAGAGUACGGUAGGGGUAGAGGGAAUUCCCAGUGUAGCGGUGAAAUGCGUAGAGAUUGGGAAGAACACCAGUGGCGAAAGCGCUCUACUGGGCCGUAACUGACGCUCAGGGACGAAAGCUAGGGGAGCGAAAGGGAUUAGAUACCCCUGUAGUCCUAGCUGUAAACGAUGGAUACUAGGCGUAGCUUGUAUCGACCCGAGCUGUGCCGAAGCUAACGCGUUAAGUAUCCCGC
rnacentral:rRNA from 1 species